rnacentral:tRNA from 1 species
AGGGUUGUGGCUCAGUGGUAAAGUGCUUGCCUAGCAUGCUUGAAACUCUGGGUUUGAUCCCCAGCAACACAU